ensembl:lncRNA
UCAAAUCUUACAAACAAUCUUAAGGAAUAGGGAGUUUCCCCUUGUGAUUUCCCUCGGGACCUUUCACUGGUAUUCUUGGUAUUUUGGGUUGGGGUUUCUUCCCUCACUGGUAUUCUUGGUAUUUUGGGUUGUGGUUUCUUCCUUUAAAAACCCCUAUUCCCAGCCAUUCCGGGUCGAAACUCCUCUACCCCUGCGUGGGUUAUGAGUCUCGGCCCCAGUGUGCUGGUUCCUGUCAAUAAACCUCAUGCGAUUGCAGCAAGGACAGUCUCUCGAUGUGCUAAGGCAGGUAGACCUUGCUGAAGACUCCUGCUACUAUGAGGCCACCUGUCACCAUGCCUUCUUCAGCUGCCAAAAUCCUGCCACCAUGGAGCUGCAUGUCACCAUGUCUUCCCCUUCAAAAUAAGCUGUGUCCCUUCAGACCAUAAGCCAAAAAUUUAUUCUAUCUCCUUAAAUUACUUUUUUUUCAGGUAUUCAGUUAUCAAAAUGAGAAAAGUGAGCCCUGCUCCCCCCAUCCCCGACAGUUGUAUGUACUUUGAAACCUGAUGUUCACUGGCACUCAGGUGUUUAUAUCUUCCUUUGUGACUUAUGCUCAAGAGGCUUAAGUGCCACCUACCUGGCUUGCUUUGUUCACUUUUCUUGUACAUGGAAACAUAAUAUCAAAUAAAUUCACACAAUAAUUUUAGAGUUAAAAACCCUCUGUGUGCUCUACUUUACUGUUUCUAUAGGAUAAAGUGCAAGUGCCUGCUAAUGGUGCCCAUAAGGCCUUGCCCCUAUCUAGCGAGAUCUUUGCCACUCCCUGCCUCCACAUUCUUUUGCUAGCUGUCUCCCACACACAUAAUACCCUGUGCUUUGUCCCAUCAGAUACUUUCUUUAGAAUGUUCAUUGUACAUCUCUUAGUGUGGUCAGUUCUUGUAGUAUCUUCCCCCAUACGAGCUUUUUAAAGUCUCUAAGUAGGGGAAUUUAUAUAUCUCAGUACUUGAAAAAUGCACUCAUAUUUUAUUCAACUUAUUUUUUCACUUAGUCUUAUAAAAAUUUAAUACUAUGGAAUAAUUGGAAUGUAAAGUUCUCUGAUUAGGUGGUAAAAUCAAAUGUAGGAUUUGCCUCACACUACCCUUGCUCCCAAGGUCCAGUGUCCUUAAUAAGCAUGUACUUAAAACAUCUCUGUUUCUCUGAACUCAACUGCAGUUUUGACAAGGUCAAAGAGUCUGUGUGUGGGCAAACUUUAGUCUUCCACUAGGCUUAUCCAUGCACUUCUCUGUAAAGUCUAUUUUUAGCAGAAUAACCCUGUUGAGUCAUAUUAGCCAGAAAUCCCAUCUUUGAAAUCUGAUUAGAUUUCCAUCCUUCACCAGCCUGUAGGGUAUUAUCUGAUCACCUUGGACUGUUUGGUGAGAUUCUACUUACUUGGAAUCUCCCAUACCCCUUAAGUUUCCAUACCCUACUCCACCCUACCCUUACUAUAAAUGCCCACUUAUUUAUACUGUAUUCAGAGUUAAGUCACUCUCCCCCACAGCAGGGACCCACUGCAACAAUCCCUAUGUUUACCACUGCAAUCCUAAAUAACAUCUCCCUUUAACAAAUAACAUUGUUUUCUUUGUCUUUAACAACUGUGACUCAAGGUAAUAUGAUCUUUAAAAGGAUAAUCUUUCUGACUCUCAUUUUUCAUAGUGUGUGAUGGUUAGGCUAAUUGAUCUUUCAGGGCUCUUCCUGUCAUAAAAUUCUGAUUAUAAAAUUCCAUUAUCUUCUGGCUUGGUGCAACUCUAAGCUGUCUCACAAACACUGUACAAUGCUUGUCAGGAGCUGCAUAAAAUUUAUUGUUCAUCAAGCCAGACAUCCUGAUGUAUUUAUAGAGAUGUUUCUUUAGAAUGAUUGGAUUAAGCCUUUCUUUGUUGCCAG